rnacentral:rRNA from 1 species
CCUACGGGUGGCUGCAGUGGGGAAUAUUGGACAAUGGGCGAAAGCCUGAUCCAGCCAUGCCGCGUGUGUGAAGAAGGCCUUCGGGUUGUAAAGCACUUUCAGUGGGGAAGAAAGCCUUGGGGCUAAUACCCUCGAGGAAGGACAUCACCCACAGAAGAAGCACCGGCUAACUCCGUGCCAGCAGCCGCGGUAAUACGGAGGGUGCGAGCGUUAAUCGGAAUUACUGGGCGUAAAGCGCGCGUAGGCGGUCUGAUAAGCCGGUUGUGAAAGCCCCGGGCUCAACCUGGGAACGGCAUCCGGAACUGUCAGGCUAGAGUGCAGGAGAGGAAGGUAGAAUUCCCGGUGUAGCGGUGAAAUGCGUAGAGAUCGGGAGGAAUACCAGUGGCGAAGGCGGCCUUCUGGACUGACACUGACGCUGAGGUGCGAAAGCGUGGGUAGCAAACAGGAUUAGAUACACAGUAGUC